UACGGGAGGUAGCAGUGGGGAAUAUUGCACAAUGGGCGAAAGCCUGAUGCAGCUAUGCCGCGUGUAUGAAGAAGGCCUUAGGGUUGUAAAGUACUUUCAUCGGGGAGGAAAAAACAAAACUAAUAAUUUUAUUUCUUGACGUUACCCGAAAAAGAAGCACCGGCUAACUCCGUGCCAGCAGCCGCGGUAAUACGGAGGGUGCUAGCGUUAAUCAGAAUUACUGGGCGUAAAGAGCACGUAGGUGGUUUUUUUAAGUCAGAUGUGAAAUCCCUGGGCUUAACCUAGGAACUGCAUUUUGAAACUGAAAUACUAGAGUAUCGUAGAGGGAGGUAGAAUUCUAGGUGUAGCGGUGAAAUGCGUAGAUAUCUGGAGGAAUACCUGUGGCGAAAGCGGCCUCCUAAACGAAUACUGACACUGAGGGUGCGAAAGCGUGGGGAGCAAACAGGGAUUAGAUACC
rnacentral:rRNA from 1 species